rnacentral:ncRNA from 1 species
UGGUAGUAUGGUUUAAAGCUAAAACUAAAAGGAAUUGACGGAAGCGCACCACCAGGAGUGGAGCCAUUUGCUUAAUUUGACAAAACACGGGAAAUUGCAACCAGCCCAGAUACUGUCGGGAUUGACAGAUUGCUAGCUCUCUCCUGAUUUGGUGGUUGGUAAUGCAUGGCCGUUUUACUUGGUGUUGCAAUUCGUCUGGUUACUUUCGAUAACGAACGAGAUUCUAGCCUGCUAAUUUGUUUGCCUGUCUUCUGUUCCUGUGCUGGCGGCGUUUUGGCAAAACGGAAUACUUCAGCUGACUUCUUUUGUUCUGCGCAUUUCUCUGCGCGCGCUGCUUCGAGCCCUUCCCAGGGCGAGUGGUGCACGUGCGUGUGAAUCGUGGACUGUGGUAGGAGGUGUGACAGGUGGGUUCAGCGCUAGCCCCCGGGUACGGCGCAUGUGUGUUUUCUUCUAAGAGGGACAAGCGUAACGAAUGUGCUCGAAAUUGAGCAAUAACAGGUCUGUGAUGCCCUGAAAUGUACAGGGCCACACGCGUGCUUCAAUGACGCUGCCAACGAGUUUGACCUUCUGGCCCGAAAGGGUUAGGUAAACUGGUUAAUCAACGUCAUGGCAGGGAUCGGGGCUAUGAAUUGUUCUCCCGUGGACGUGGAAUUCCUAGAAAGUACAUGUCAUAAGUUUGCGCUGAUUACGUCCCUGCCCUUUGUACA